UUCCGGUUGAUCCUGCCGGAGGUUACUGCUAUCGAGGUUCGACUAAGCCAUGCGAGUCGAAUGUAGCAAUACAUGGCGAACUGCUCAGUAACACGUGGACAACCUGCCCUUAGGACGGGGAUAAACCCGGGAAACUGGGUAUAAUACCCGAUAGGUCUCGAUUGCUGGAAUGCAUCGAGAUUUAAAGCUCCGGCGCCUAAGGAUGGGUCUGCGGCCUAUCAGGUAGUAGUGGGUGUAGCGUACCUACUAGCCUACGACGGGUACGGGUUGUGAGAGCAAGAGCCCGGAGAUGGAUUCUGAGACACGAAUCCAGGCCCUACGGGGUGCAGCAGGCGCGAAAACUUUACAAUGCUGGCAACAGCGAUAAGGGAACCUCGAGUGCCAGGUUACAAAUCUGGCUGUCGAGAUGCCUAAAAAGCAUUUCAUAGCAAGGGCCGGGCAAGACCGGUGCCAGCCGCCGCGGUAACACCGGCGGCUCGAGUGGUAACCGUUAUUAUUGGGUCUAAAGGGUCUGUAGCCGGCCGGAUAAGUCUCUUGAGAAAUCUGGCAGCUUAACUGUCAGGCUUUCAGGAGAUACUGUCUGGCUCGAGGCCGGGAGAGGUGAGAGGUACUUCAGGGGUAGGGGUGAAAUCUUGUAAUCCUUGAAGGACCACCAGUGGCGAAGGCGUCUCACCAGAACGGACCUGACGGCAAGGGACGAAAGCUAGGGGCACGAACCGGAUUAGAUACCCGGGUAGUCCUAGCCGUAAACGAUACUCGCUAGGUGUCGGCCACGGUGCGACCGUUGUCGGUGCCGUAGGGAAGCCGUGAAGCGAGCCACCUGGGAAGUACGGCCGCAAGGCUGAAACUUAAAGGAAUUGGCGGGGGAGCACCACAACGGGUGGAGCUUGCGGUUUAAUUGGAUUCAACGCCGGAA
rnacentral:rRNA from 1 species